UCCAGAGAUUUCCGAAUGGGGGAACCCAACAUCUUUAAUAGGAUGUUACGAUUGUGUGAAUACAUAGCACAUUCGAGGUAGACGCAGAGAACUGAAACAUCUAAGUACCUGCAGGAAGAGAAAGAAAAUUCGAUUCCCUGAGUAGCGGCGAGCGAAACGGGAAAAGCCCAAACCAGCAAGCUUGCUUGUUGGGGUUGUAGGACUCCAAUAUGGUAGUUCUUUCAGAUAGUCGAAUGACUUGGAAAAGUCAGUCAAAGAGGGUAAAAACCCCGUAGACGAAAUGUGGAAGACACCUAGGAGGAUCCUGAGUACGGCGGAACACGAGAAAUUCCGUCGGAAUCCGGGAGGACCAUCUCCCAAGGCUAAAUACUCCCUAGUGACCGAUAGUGAACCAGUACCGUGAGGGAAAGGUGAAAAGCACCCCGGAAGGGGAGUGAAAUAGAACCUGAAACCGUGUGCCUACAACAAGUCAAAGCCCGUUAAUGGGUGAUGGCGUGCCUUUUGUAGAAUGAACCGGCGAGUUACGAUUGCAUGCGAGGUUAAGUUGAAGAGACGGAGCCGCAGCGAAAGCGAGUCUGAAUAGGGCGUUUGAGUAUGUAGUCGUAGACCCGAAACCAUGUGAUCUACCCAUGUCCAGGUUGAAGGUGCGGUAAAACGCACUGGAGGACCGAACCCACGUACGUUGAAAAGUGCGGGGAUGAGGUGUGGGUAGCGGAGAAAUUCCAAACGAACUUGGAGAUAGCUGGUUCUCUCCGAAAUAGCUUUAGGGCUAGCCUCGGAAUU
rnacentral:rRNA from 1 species